rnacentral:rRNA from 1 species
UACGUAGGCAGCAAACGUUGUUCGGAAUUACUGGGCGUAAAGAGUGUGUAGGCGGCUUUGCUAGUCUGGCGUGAAAUCUCCCGGCUUAACUGGGAGGGUGCACUAGAAACUGCAAGGCUAGAGUAUCGGAGAGGAAAGCGGAAUUCCUGGUGUAGCGGUGAAAUGCGUAGAUAUCAGGAGGAACACCGGUGGUGUAGACGGCUUUCUGGACGAUCACUGACGCUGAGACACGAAAGCGUGGGGAGCAAACAGG